CAGGGAAUCUUGCGCAAUGGGCGAAAGCCUGACGCAGCAACGCCGCGUGNNGGAUGAAGGCCUUCGGGUUGUAAACUGCUUUUAUUUGUGAAGAAUAUGACGGUAACAAAUGAAUAAGGGUCGGCUAACUACGUG
rnacentral:rRNA from 1 species